CUGCAUUCUUUUGACCAGGACUUGGAUAUGCUGGAUAACUGUACCUGGAUUUCCCCAUUUCCAUGUCUAAAACAAAAUAUUUACAGAUGGGAUCUCAGUAAAAUAUCAAAAGAACUGUGAGCCCAAUAUUAAAUCUCCACAGAGCAACACUGUCUAUUAAUGAGAAAUAAAGCAUCUCUGAUGGGGUAUUUAACACAUACUACAUUUAAAUGCACGUUUUAUAUUUUUUUUCUUAAUAGUGAUUUAAAUAUUUUGGGUUGUAGUAUCCAAUCUGUUAUCCCCAGGUGGUUUACUUACCAAAUACCA